rnacentral:tRNA from 1 species
GCCCCGGUAGCUCAGUCGGAUAGAGCAGCGGACUUCUAAUCCGCAGGUCGAAGGUUCGAAUCCUUCCCGGGGUG